CGAGAUGUAGCGCAGGUGGUAGCGCGCCACGUUCGGGACGUGGAUGCCGCAAGUUCGAGUCUUGUCAUCUCGACCA
rnacentral:tRNA from 1 species